UUGACCUCGGAUCAGGUAGGGAUACCCGCUGAACUUAAGCAUAUCAAUAAGCGGAGGAAAAGAAACCAACAGGGAUUGCCUCAGUAACGGCGAGUGAAGCGGCAACAGCUCAAAUUUGAAAUCUGGUCCUUUCAGGGCCCGAGUUGUAAUUUGUAGAGGAUGUUUCGGGUGCGGCGCGGGUCUAAGUCCUUUGGAACAGGGCGUCAUAGAGGGUGAGAAUCCCGUAUGUGACCCGUGAUCAAGCCCAUGUGAAACCCCUUCGACGAGUCGAGUUGUUUGGGAAUGCAGCUCAAAAUGGGUGGUAAAUUUCAUCUAAAGCUAAAUACCGGCCAGAGACCGAUAGCGCACAAGUAGAGUGAUCGAAAGAUGAAAAGCACUUUGGAAAGAGAGUCAAAAAGUACGUGAAAUUGUUGAAAGGGAAGCGCUUGCAACCAGACCUGUCCGCAGGCGAUCAACUCCCGUUCUCGGGGGUGCACUCGUCUGUGAUCAGGCCAGCAUCGGUUCGGGCGGUCGGAUAAAGGCCUUGGGAAUGUAGCUCCUUCCGGGGAGUGUUAUAGCCCUCGGUGCAAUGCGGCCAGCCCGGACCGAGGACCGCGCCUUCGGGCUAGGAUGCUGGCGUAAUGGUUGUAAGCGACCCGUCUUGAAACACGGACCAAGGAGUCUAACAUCUAUGCAAGUGUUUGGGUGUCAAACCCAUGCGCGUAAUGAAAGUGAACGGAGGUGAGAACCCUUAAGGGCGCAUCAUCGACCGAUCCAGAUGUCUUCGGAUGGAUUUGAGUAUGAGCAUAGCUGUUGGGACCCGAAAGAUGGUGA
rnacentral:rRNA from 1 species